rnacentral:rRNA from 1 species
GAUGAACGCUGGCAGAAUGCUUAACACAUGCAAGUCAACUUGAACUUCGGUUUGGGUGGCGGACGGGUGAGUAACGCGUACAGAACUUGCCUCACAGAUAGGGACAACAUUUGGAAACGAAUGCUAAUACCUGAUAUUAUGAUUAUAUGGCAUCGUAUAAUUAUGAAAGCUAUAUGCGCUGUGAGAGAGCUUUGCGUCCCAUUAGCUAGUUGGAGAGGUAACGGCUCACCAAGGCGAUGAUGGGUAGCCGGCCUGAGAGGGUGAUCGGCCACAAGGGGAAUGAGACACGGCCCUUACUCCUACGGGAGGCAGCAGUGGGGAAUAUGGGACAAUGGACCAAGAGUCUGAUCCAGCAAUUCUGUGUGCACGAUGAAGUUUUUCGGAAUGUAAAGUGCUUUCAGUUGGGAAGAAAAAAAUGACGGUACCAACAGAAGAAGUGACGGCUAAAUACGUG